rnacentral:misc_RNA from 1 species
AUCAAAUUAUUCAAUCAACACCUAAGCAAAUGAUUAACAAAUCACAUAUUUUAAUUGGAACCCCCUAAGUGAAAUUUUUGCAUCUGUCAUUGAGAGCUCGUCUGUUUAUUGGGAAAGACCUCUAAAUAUGAAGAUGUUUCCAAAGUAGUCAAAACAAGUAUUUAGCCUGGAUUUAAAUACGUGAAGAUUGAUGAUUUAGUGAGGUCAGCUUGGAGGAUGAUAUGGAAUUUAAAAUUGGACCAAUACAUUGAAGAGUAAUGUCUUUGUCGAAAAAAAAAAAGAAGAAAGU